CCCUUAGAUGUCCUGGGCCGCACGCGCGCUACACUGAGUGUCUGAGAUACGAGUCUGCCUGGUCCGGCAAGGUCUAGGUAAUCGCUAAAAGACACAUCAUGCUUGGGAUAGAUUAUUGCAAAUAUUAAUCUUGAACGAGGAAUUCCUAGUAAGCGCAAGUCAACAGCUUGCGUUGAUUACGUCCCUGCCCUUUGUACACACCGCCCGUCGCUCCUACCGAUUGAAUGGUCCGGUGAAGCGUUCGGACCGUGGCCUUUGGACGGUUCGCCGUCUGUUGGCUGCGGGAAGUUCGUUAAACCUUAUCAUUUAGAGGAAGGAGAAGUCGUAACA
rnacentral:rRNA from 1 species